GAUGAACGCUAGCGGCAGGCUUAAUACAUGCAAGUCGUGGGGCAGCAGGUUUGUAGCAAUACAGAUGCUGGCGACCGGCAAACGGGUGCGGAACACGUACAGAACCUUCCUUUGAGCGGGGAAUGGCCCAGAGAAAUUUGGAUUAAUACCCCAUAGUAUAAUGAAGUGGCAUCACUUUAUUAUUAAAGAUUUAUCACUCGAAGAUGGCUGUGCGGCUGAUUAGGUAGUUGGCGGGGUAAAGGCCCACCAAGCCUGCGAUCAGUAACUGGUAUGAGAGCACGACCAGUCACACGGGCACUGAGACACGGGCCCGACUCCUACGGGAGGCAGCAGUAAGGAAUAUUGGUCAAUGGAGGCAACUCUGAACCAGCCAUGCCGCGUGGAGGAUGAAGGUCCUCUGGAUUGUAAACUUCUUUUAUAUGGGACGAAAAAAGGCUUUCUAAGUCGUCUGACGGUACCAUAUGAAUAAGCACCGGCUAACUCCGUGCCAG
rnacentral:rRNA from 1 species